rnacentral:misc_RNA from 1 species
AACCACACAAGGAUCAUGGCGACCACGAGCAAUGAGUUCAGUCUCAUGUUUAUCCCUACUAACAGUAUGUUGCUUCCUUGCAAUUGUAGAAGUUGGCUUGAAUGCUACUCUCAUAUUAAUAAUUUCUCCAUUUGAUAUGCCUCCCUGGAUACCACCAGAUCUAUUGGUUUUUGUCCUGAUUUGGUCAUGUUCAUCCAUAAAGAACUCAUCAUUAUGCUCACUGCCAGUCAUGAAAGUACCUGCAAAGCCACUUCCAAACUCAAAACCCUUUGUUGCUGGUAAUGACAUGCAAGCUUUA